CCCGCGGCAGCUGAUGUCAGGGGCUGGGCUGCCGCACGAGUGGCCUGACGGGUGCGGGGGAAAAUGUUCGAGCGCGAGCCCCCGCGGGGCCACUGGGGAGACGGAGGGCAGAAACGGGGGCCGUUGGAGCCAGCCUAAGCUUGGGUGUAAGCUCUGUCACUCAGAGCUCGGGACUAGGCGCUUUUGGGUGCAAAACGAGUGGCCCACACAACUCCCUGGCUAGAAGAGGCCCGAGUCUGGGAGGGGAGAGAUUUGGAGAAACCGAAUCUCAACUCCAUGAAGUCAGUGACGUGUCUCUUCUCUGCUGUACUCCGGGUGCCUGAAAUGUGCCUGGCAGGAAACUUUCAUUUUGGCCACAUAUGUACCUGUGUGCACGCAGGCAUGUGUGCUUCUGUGAGCAUGCCCUGGAUCUCAAUGCCAAGGAUUUAUGGGAACCAGGGAAGGUCUUCCCACUUGGCUGUAUUAACUACAGGAGGAUCGACCUUCAUGUGAGCACAGCCUGUCCCACCAAACUGGGGGCACAGGUGCCUACUCCAGGAAGCUAAAGAUGGUGGUUUGAGAGCACAGACCCUGGGCUCCGACUGCCCCUCAUGGAUCAAAGCUCUGAUUUUCAUCAGCUGCAUAACCCCUUGGAACCUUCUGUGGCCUCUCUAAGCCUCGUGUCUUCAUCUGGAAAGGAGUCAGCUGCAAUGAUACCUGUCUUUGGGACUGCUGAGUGGUUAAGCAAAGGAAAGAACUAAAGCAUUAGAAUGAUGACAAAGAAAGAAGAAAAAAAUUCAGGAUGUGCCAUGUGUGGACAAUCCAGGCAUAGAUGGCCAUUGUUCUAGGAGAACACGUCGGGAAUGAACCAAGGGGACUAUUUCCUUUUGCCACCAGGCGCGAGCCCAGGGUGAAGGGGGAUCUUCUAAAGGUGAGUUUUCCCCUGAAUGAAGCCACUGGGUCAAAGUUAUGCCUGUCACUUGAUUUGUGAAUGCAAAUGAUUUUAAGCCAAUGUAGCCUUUGCAUAAACUCUCCAAUGAAAAGUACUGCGUAGUCUCCAAAGUGGCAGAUUCCCUCCUGGCUUUGCAGAGGAUGAUAAUGAGUUAUUGCUAAUAUAACCAUCAAGCUGUUAUUUGCAUGAGUAAAACGGGAGCUAAUGGGUAGAUAAAAUUAAACUUUAAAAUGAAAUAUUGUUAAAACAAAACGGUUAAUGAAUUUCGACACGUUAUUGAGCAGGUAAGUUUGGCAGCUGAGUGCAAGAGAUGAUUUUAAUUGGUGUCCUUGAAUCAAAAUCAAUAUUGUAAAUUGCACAGCGUAUCAGAAACACCUUCUCCUCCUCCUAUUAAUAUUUGGAUCACUUCCGGCCUGAAUCCCAGGCCCUGUCGCAUCAGUCCUAGUGGACCAGCAGGGAGGGAGUGGGUCAGUUCACUUGUCUGUAAUUACAGGAGGGCAAUCAAUCCUGAAAUCCAGGAGCACUCUGGUUGAUCUUCUCAAAAUGAACUUCCCAGGGAUGCAGUGCACAGCCUGAGUGUCAGUCUUACUCUGUACUGCUUCAGCCUUGGGAAGUGCAGGAUAAGUUCAUAACUGGAUUCGGGCAGGACCCUCCACGAGAGGGCCUCACGUUUGCGGUAUUAGUGCGUGAGAAGCAGAACAGCAGCAAGGGAAGCCCCCUCUUCUACGUUUCCCACCGUUCAGAUCUCUGACGUCCUGUGGACACUUAGUUCUGUUUGGUCACACAUCACCUGAGAUGCCUUUGGGUGUGUCUGGGUCACCUUCUCUGGCAUGUCCCGGAAACCACCAUGCACUGAAUGGCUUAGAUUAGGGGUUGGCAAACUUUAGCUUGUAGGAUCAAGGCCAUCCCACUGUCUGUUUUUGUAUGAGCUAAGAAUAGCUUUCCCAUGUUCAAUGGUUGCAACACCUUGAAAGAAGAAUCCUAUCUCAGGACACCUGGAGUUAGAUGAAAUGUGAAUUUCCGUGUCCAUAAACAAAGUCUUAGAGUAUAGGUUGUCUGUGACUGCUUCCUUGAUAUGAUGGUGAGGUUCAGGGGUUACAAUAGAAACCGCAUGGCCCCCAAGCCCAAAAUGCUUCAUCUCCGGUCCUUCACAGAAAAAGUUGGCCAACCUUUACCUUGGCACAUUGCUGCCUCUGCAGACCUAGAGCUGGGAAUGGGGGCACUGUACCGAUGAGGGCUGGAUACUCCAACAAGGAUUUUAUUAGGAAGAUAGAAAGGGGACGCCGAAGCUGGGCAGGAAACCAAUGGUGUCCAUUGUAUCUGAGAAGUCAUCUAAUUUCUCUGAGACUCGUUCUCCCCACCUGCAGACGUGGGGUAUAGCAGACAAGUUUCCAGGGAAUUGGUGAGAACUCAGGAGACGGCGUGGAGAUCACGACUGAGUGACGAAUAAGUGAACGAAUGAAUGAGACUUGGUCAAAGGUGAGGUUGGGAAGGUGAGCCGGCUCACAACAUGCCAAAGAAUUCUGGCUUUAUUUUGCCGACAUAUGGUGGCCUUUGAAGUGUUUCAAGCAAAUGACAGAGUGACAUUUGCCUUGGAGAGAGAGAACAUGGCAUUUGGUGGGGGGCUAGAGCAGAAAGGUCAUUUGGUCAGAGAGCGACAAGAAUAGGAUGCUUCCUGAAAGGGAAAAUCAGCAAACUGCUUCCUCUGUAACUCUUCCUCCAGGAGAGGGAAGAGACAGAAGGGACAGCUCCAGGGAACACGAUAUGGGCUGAUAUGGGGGAAGCACACUCAGAAGAACCCUAUGAAAACAGGCACGUGGUCAGGAAGCUGUGUGUCCUGCAGUGGUUCUCAGACUAGGAAGGUGAUGGGAAGAGCAUGGCACAGAGGGGACUUCAUGAGAGAAAGUGGAGAACACUGUCUCAGAGGCCACGGGUUCUAGUCCUGACCCCACCAGGAACUUGCUGUGUGCCCUGAGGCAAAUGGAUCCACCUUUCUGGUUUUCUGUUUCAUCAUUUGAGAACAAGAACUCUCCAAUGAGAUGGUUUCUUUGAAGGCACGAAUGUAUUAGCAAGAACAGGUUCAGGUUUUGAGAGACCUGAAGUUGAAACCCAUGGGCUCUCCCUUUAAGGAAAAAGAAACACAAAAUUAGAUGAGAAAGUGAAAACCUAUAAGGAGACAAAAAAUCUGGCAAAUACAUUUGGAAGUGAUGAAAAGCACUCUAAAUAUCCCCAAAUCCAGAAGAAUAUAAAAAUAUUAUUAAUGAACUGUUCGAUAAACUCUCAUGCAUUUUUUUGGCUGCAUACUUUUGGCGCACGUCUUCACAUGACAGUGAUUUUAGAUUUUCCAAAGAGAGGAUAGAAAGCUAACAGCCCUUCUGAUGGAAACUUGUUUUAAAUGAUAGGACAGCAGGAAACACGUGACAGCUGUCUUGCUGUCUCUCUCCAGGUCCGUGACCUGCAGACACAGGGAUUCUAAUGUUUCUUCUAUUCGGCAUGACUCCCAUCAUAAAAUGUAAGCAUGGGGUGUGUUUAUGACUGUGUAUGCAGCAUCAUUGCAUGAUUCCUAACACUAGAGGGUUUACGUUUUUGACUGGACAUCAGUGAGACCCAGACUCUACUUCCACUGUUACCUGUCUGAGGUAAGAGAAGAGGUAUUUCACACCUUGUUCUACUCCAUUGUCCAUGAUGCUGUGUCAGGAUCCAGGGGAGCUGGCUGUGUGCAGUGGGGAUAUUUCUGAAAACCAGGUUGGUUAAAACAAGUGACUUUAAACCAUAUGUGUGUGUCUUAGUGAACCUGAGCCAAAGGUGUCUGUGUUGCCCCUUCCCAGAGCCACCCGUUCAAUAAAUGAUACUGGGACAAAUUGUCAUCCUUAAUGGAAAGCUUGUAUUAUUUCCCAACCACACAUGAACGUCUCCAAUAGUCUAUAUGGAUUAAAGACCUGCAUAAGCAAAACCAGGAAACACUUAGAAGAAUACCUCGGAGAAUUUCUUUACGACCCUGGAGUAGGGGAAGAUGUCUUAAAUCAGUUAGAAAAGGAAAACAUCGUAAAAGGAAACAGUAAUAAAAUUGGCUUCGUCAAAGUAUUAAAUGUCUGUAAUGACAACAGACACUGUAAAAACAACUGCUAGUUUUUGAAUAGUCUCAACCCUGUUCCAAGUGUUUUGCACAUAUUAUCUCACUUAAUUCUAAUAUCAAUACCAUACAGAAUAUCAUUAUCUCCACUUUGAAGACGAGGAAACUGAGGCAGAGAGAGAUCAAAUAAAUCCCCCAAUGCCAUGUGAUUAGUUUAUAGUGGCUGAGCUAAGAGACCAGGUAGUCUGACUCUCAAGUCUCCUCUCUUGAUGAAAUGUCUUAGCCCAUCUCACCUUUUUGCCAUGUUAUUUGUAAGAAAGUAACAAGACAUGCCAUAAAUGAAUAGAUCAUUGUAAUUCAUAAAAACCUCAAAGGAUCAGCACUCAGAACCUAUAAAGAAGUCCUCCAUGUCAAGUAGAAAAAACAAGCAGCUCAGCUGAAGAUGGGCGAGAGAUAAGAGCAGAUUGUUCAUGAAAAAGGACCCAGGAAUGUCGAGCCGCACAUGAAAAGAUGCUCAGCAUUACUAGUAACCGAGGAGAUGCAAAUUAAUACACCAAGGGGGCGUUCCUGCUGUAGCACAAUGGGAUUGGCAGCAUCUCUGGAGCACUGGGAUGCAGGUUCAAUCCCCAGCCCAGCACAGUAGGUGAAGGAUCCCACAGUAGGUGUAGGUUACAUUCACAGCUUGGAUCUGAUCCCUGGCUUGGGAACUUCGUAUGCCAUGGGGUGGCCAAAAGAGAAAGCAAACAAACAGACAAAAAACACCAGGGGGAUUCAUCUCACGCCCAGCUAUGGGCAUAGGCUGAAAAGUUUGGAAACCCCAAGUAGUGGGAAGGAUGUAGGCACCCGAAAUUCUUCUGAGUGUCAAAUGAAGACGCAGUUCCUUUUAGGAGCAAUUCGACAGGACAUAAUGGAGGUAAAGACGGACAGUCCUCAUCACUCCAGCGAUGUCACAUCCACUGGACCUAAGAGAAACCUUCAGGCUUGCCCAGCAAGAGGAAAGUACCAAGUUUUCCCUUCUGUACUAUGUCAGUUACAAAACAUGACUAUGAAACACCUCUUGCUCAGGGAAUGGAAAAGUAAACCAUGGCUUAUGCAUACAAUUCUAGACAGCAGUUAAAAUGAAUGGAGUAGACUGACAUGUAUCAAGGCAGAUAAAUUCUAAAAUCAAACAUUUGAAUAAAAUCGGGCUGCAGAAGGAUAUGUGUAGUUUUGCUGUCGUACAGUUUUAAAAUGCAAAAAGUUUUAUAUUUCAGACACUUAAAUAUGCACUGAGAAACGUGUAUAAAAUGCAUAUCUAUAUAGUUUUAGUUAUAAAGUGAACCUCUGUGUAACCACAUAACUAGAACUUCCCAAACCUUUGUGUUAUGUAUUUUUCUAAUCCUGUUCCCUUGCAGUUAACCGUUAGCCUGACUUUUUGUAUGUAUUACCCUAAAGAAAAAAAAAAA
rnacentral:lncRNA from 1 species